rnacentral:rRNA from 1 species
UGCCAGCAGCCGCGGUAAUACAUAGGGGGCAAGCGUUAUCCGGAAUUAUUGGGCGUAAAGAGUGCGUAGGCGGUUUAUUAAGUCUGGUGUGAAAUUUCACGGCUUAACUGUGAAGGGUCAUUGGAAACUGAUAAACUUGAGUACGGUAGGGGUAAGUGGAAUUCCAAGUGGAGCGGUGGAAUGCGUAGAUAUUUGGAGGAACACCAGUGGCGAAGGCGGCUUACUGGGCCGGAACUGACGCUGAGGCACGAAAGCGUGGGGAGCAAACAGGAUUAGAUACCCUGGUAGUCCACGCCGUAAACGUUGAGUAUUAAGUGUCGGAUGUAAAUUCGGUGCUGCAGUUAACACAAUAAAUACUCCGCCUGGGGAGUACGGUCGCAAGACUGAAACUCAAAGGAAUUGACGGGGGCCCGCACAAGC